rnacentral:rRNA from 1 species
GCAAGUCGAACGGUAACAGGAGAAAGCUUGCUUUCUUGCUGACGAGUGGCGGACGGGUGCGUAACGCGUGGGAAUCAACCCUAAAGCGGAGGACAACUCGAGGAAACUCGAGCUAAUACUGCAUACUCUCUACGGAGAAAAGAGGGCCUCUAUUUAUAAGCUCUCACUUUAGGAUGAGCCCGCGUUGGAUUAGCUUGUUGGUGAGGUAAAGGCUCACCAAGGCGACGAUCCAUAGCUGGUCUGAGAAGACGAAC